GACGAAACGCUGGGCGGCGUGCUUAACACAUGCAAGUCGAGCGGUAAGGCCCUUCGGGGUACACGAGCGGCGAACGGGUGAGUAACACGUGGGUGACCUGCCUCUAGCUCUGGGAUAAGCCUGGGAAACUGGGUCUAAUACCGGAUAUGACUCCACGGCGCAUGUUGUGGGGGUGGAAAGCCUUGUGUGGCUAGAGAGUGGGCCCGCGGCCUAUCAGCUUGUUGGUGGGGUGAUGGCCUACCAAGGCGACGACGGGUAGCCGGCCUGAGAGGGCGACCGGCCACACUGGGACUGAGACACGGCCCAGACUCCUACGGGAGGCGAGCAGUGGGGAUCUUGCGCAAUGGGCGAAAGCCUGCGCAGCGACGCCGCGUGAGGGAUGACGGCCUCGGUUGUAACGUACUU
rnacentral:rRNA from 1 species